rnacentral:rRNA from 1 species
GAUCCUGGCUCAGGAUGAACGCUAGCUACAGGCUUAACACAUGCAAGUCGAGGGGAGACGACAUCGAAAGCUUGCUUUUGAUGGGCGUCGACCGGCGCACGGGUGAGUAACGCGUAUCCAACCUGCCUACCACUUGGGGAUAACCUUGCGAAAGUAAGACUAAUACCCAAUGACAUCCCACGAAGACAUCUGAAUGGGAUUAACGAUUUAUCGGUGAUGGAUGGGGAUGCGUCUGAUUAG